AAUUUAACAAAAAAACUAGUAUUUUUAUUUUUUAAAAAUAAAAAAAAUAAAAAUACUAGUUUUUCGUAAAAUUUGAAAAAAAAAAGUUUGGAAAAAACUAAUGUUUUUUGGAACCAAGUGAAUAAAAAAAAAACUAAAAAACUUUUUUUUUCUAUAUUUUCCUGUCAAACAGCACUUAAGUUAGUCAGCACUAACCAUUAAUCCAAAAAGUUCAAACUGUUAGAAAGAUACAGCUACGAGUUUCGAUUAUAACUCGGUUUAACCAGCCUUAAGAUAUUGAUCUCUUUAAGCAAAGAAUUACUCUCCCAGCACCAACACAAAUUGAUAGCAUGUGAAAUCGAACUCGUGACCUCUAAUUUUGAUACCACUUGUCGAAUUGUUUUACACUAACCAUUAAUCCCAAAAGAUCUAACUGUUCGAAAGAUACAAUGCAUUCACUUAAAACGUGCAAAUACAGUAUAUAUAGAUUUUUAUUAUAACCUGACUCAACUAGCCUCGCGCUACUUCGAACAUGACUAUGCCCAACCCGACCGCCUACUAUUUCGAAAUGAUACGACUCAAUCUGAUCUUUCGCCACAGCACAGGAUGCUGACCUUUUUAAGCCAAUACAAUGUUUUAUUGCUGUGCAAUGUCCUUUUGAUGCAUUUGUUUUUUAAGCUUACCUGAUUUGAUUUCCAAGUACAUAAUUUGUAAACUCGUGACUUUGUACACCAAGCUUUUUAUGAAGUCAUUAAUUAUAUUUAUUAUAUUAGAUUUUAAUUUUAAAAUAGAUAAAAAUGUGGCUUAUUUUGAUUUUCUUAUUCAAUCUUUUAAUCUAUUUAAUUUAAGUCAUUUUGUGGCUCUUUUGACACAAAUUUAAGUUAAUUGCUCACUAUAAUAAAUUAAGAGCGGUAUUAAUUAUAUAAAAAGGAUAAUUACGUAUAUACCCCUCAAAAUUUUGAAAAUAUCUCAUUUAUUCUUUUUUUUUCUUUUCAAUAUUCCCCUGAUAUUUUUCUCUAUUAUUCUAAAAUACUCUUGCAGUUACCACCCAUUAAGUUAACUUGGGUUAAACGUGAGUUAAAUAUCAACCAAAGUUAAAAAAAUCAAAAUGUUGGUGAUCGUAAAAAGGUAUGUUUGAAAGGACAAAAAAUCAAAAUAUUUUUUGUAUCCGUAACUUAAGGGUGAAUAAGAAAAGUUCGUGAUAAUAGAAGAGUAUAUUUGAAAGGGCAAAAUAGUAAUUUCAUAGAAAUAGCAGCUAUUGCUAAUCGUUCAUUAAUAAAAUUUAACUCUAAAAAUAUAUUUAAAAUAGGUUGGAACGUAAAAAGAGUAUUUUCAAUAUUAGACUUCUAAGAGAGAUAAAUCAGAAAAUUGGAAACUUUUUAGUAGUAUAUAAGCAAUUGCUCGUAUAUAAAAUAUAUUAUUUAAAUUUACAAAGAUAAACGAUGCAUUCAAAUUUUAAAUUUAAAAAUUAUUAAAUAGCUCAAACAAGAUAAACUAAAAUAUUAAGUAGCAAAACUAAAAAAAUUUUAAAAACUAGAUGGUUAUUAAAUUUAGUGGUUAUUAAAAACAUGUAAUAUGACUUGCUAUUGUAAAUUAAAUAUUUUAGAAUAAUUAUAAAAUUUAGUAGUAAAAUAUUUAAAAAAUAGAGUUAUA
rnacentral:lncRNA from 1 species